UCUAUUCAUCUCAUGCCCCUUUACCCUUCCAGGACCCUUAUAACCCAUUUAAAGCCCCAUUUUCCCCUUCCAGGACCCUUAUAACCCAUUCUAAGCCCCUUUUUCCCCUUCCAGGACCUUCCCAUUCCACUCUAUUGACUCUUUACCCUUCCAGGACCUUCCCAACCCAUCCCAACCAACCCACCCCAACCCAUUCAAAGCCCCUUUAA
rnacentral:lncRNA from 1 species